GACGAACGCUGGCGGCGUGCUUAACACAUGCAAGUCGAACGGUGAAGCGCCUUCCUUUUUGGUUGGUGUGGAUGAGUGGCGAACGGGUGAGUAACACGUGAGUAACCUGCCCCCUUCUUCUGGAUAACCGCAUGAAAGUGUGGCUAAUACGGGAUAUUCUGGGUCUGUCGCAUGAUGGGUCUGGGAAAGAUAUUGUUUCGGUGGGGGAUGGGCUCGCGGCCUAUCAGCUUGUUGGUGGGGUGAUGGCCUACCAAGGCGGUGACGGGUAGCCGGCCUGAGAGGGUGGACGGUCACAAUGGGACUGAGACACGGCCCAGACUCAUACGGGAGGCAGCAGUGGGGAAUAUUGCACAAUGGGCGCAAGCCUGAUGCAGCGACGCCGCGUGAGGGAUGGAGGCCUGCGGGUUGUGAACCUCUUUCGCCAGUGAAGCAGGCCUGCCUCGUUUGUGGGUGGGUUGACGGUAGCUGGAUAAGAAGCGCCGGCUAACUACGUG
rnacentral:rRNA from 1 species